rnacentral:RNase_P_RNA from 1 species
GAAGUCGGUCAGGCAGCCGCUGGGCAAAAGGUGAAAGCCUGGCGCCGAGAGGAAAGUCCGGGCUCCAAAGAGCAGGAUGCCGGUUAACGACCGGGCACCGUGAGGUGACGGAAAGUGCAACAGAAAGCAGACCGCCGAUGUCCUCGCGCAGGCGACUGCCAGGGCAGGCAAGGGUGAAACGGCGAGGUA